rnacentral:lncRNA from 1 species
UGAGAAACUCCUGUGGAUGGAAUUCGAGGAUAUAUAUAUGAAGUGUACCAUCAGGAUGCUCUUGACGUCUCUCUCAUCAGUGCCUGGGUUCUGUAAGCGUCUGUUUAUCAAUAUGUAAAUUUUGGCUCAUAUCAUUAUUUUUUGUGUGUGCGUCGCCUUACUAACUUUAUCUUCCAUUUUAUGAAGGAUGCUAAUUCAAAGGUGCCGCAGAGAAUCUUACUUCAAUGUUGGCUUCAUGGAUCCAUCGAUCGUUAACCAAAAGCAGGAUUAGCUAAAGAAAACAUUGGAGGUGGUAUGCAAUUUCUUGGACAAACAACAUUACAAAAGUUAUAUACUACUGCCAUAGAACUUUAAGUAAGUGCGGGUACCGUCUAUUUUUGUUUUCUUUUUCCUUACCUAAUUAAUGUUAGUUAGCUCUAAUAUAAAUAUUUAUGUACGCAAUUACCA